UACAGAGGUCUCAAGCGUUGUUCGGAUUCAUUGGGCGUAAAGGGUGUGUAGGUGGCGCCGUAAGUCGGGUGUGAAAUCUCGGGGCUUAACUCCGAAACUGCAUUCGAUACUGCGGUGCUCGAGGACUGGAGAGGAGACUGGAAUUUACGGUGUAGCAGUGAAAUGCGUAGAGAUCGUAAGGAAGACCAGUGGCGAAGGCGGGUCUCUGGACAGUUCCUGACACUGAGGCACGAAGGCCAGGGGAGCAAACGGG
rnacentral:rRNA from 1 species